rnacentral:rRNA from 1 species
CGGGAAACGGGUGGGCCACGGCUUCAAAGGGGAGAAACGAAGAUGUCUAUUCUCUUCCGGAGCGUCGGGUGCCCGCCGGUAGAGGUAGGAGAGGCGGGUGAGGUGGGGCGUGACUUUUUUGGGGCUCUCGGUACCGUCGCAAGGUGGGGGACCAGCGGAGCGCGCAGGCGGAGCGGUGGGGCGAGGAGGGGCGGCGGCGCGGGCGGCGGCGGCGCCGGCCCCAGAGGAAGGUGGCGGCGGCGAAGAGGCGGUAGCAGCGGCGCCGCUGGCGGGGGCGCCGGUGGCCCAAGCUGAAGUUGAGGAUGUACCCCCUCGCCCGCCACCGGCACUUGUCGCGGGACCUGCGGCGGCAGGGCCGGCCGCUCGGGGGGCGCCGCGAGGUGCUGCGCUACGCGAUGCGCGACGACCGGCCCCCGUUCGCGCACGCGGGCCGGGAGACGGACCGGCGGACGCAGCACAGGCCGCCGGCGCUCCGGACCCGCUACCGGGGGCGGCGGCGCCAGCUCUACCACGUGUGGUACAGCGAGCACGUGCUGCUGGAGGGGACGUACCUGCUGCUGCUGGAGGCGGCGCCGUUCCGGUGGACGGUGCAGCACAUGCCGCUCGGGUAGCGGCACGAGCGGCCGCUGCGGGACGAGCGCGAGCGGAAGCUCGUGUACCGGUCGCAGCUGAGGAUGGGGGGCCUGCAGCUGGGGCGGUUCGUGUGGCGGGCGCAGCAGGCGCGGUAACCACUCGAGCGCGCGACGUAGCCUAGUCUCCCGGAGCAGCGGCCGGUCCAACAACUAGACCUCUACUGACCGAGUUGGCUCUGACAUGGUGAACUGGCGGAACUCAUGUAGGUAGACGUGUUCUGACGACGGAACGAACUCCGGAGUCACCAAUAACCUCGUUAGUAGCCCCCACCGAGCCUUCUCGUCUAACUCGCCAACGCGUUCAUGCGCUCUAGUUAACCCAACGACAAGGUCCACCAACUACUGUAAGAACUACACUGGUUCAGUAGUCUCCUCGAUCCCUUCUGUCGACCCUUCCUGAACCGCUCACUGUUCUGCUGUAUGGGUUUCAAUGAUCCCAACCUCUUCAGUGCCCUUAAACGCCUCUUCAACGAAAGACUACGUUUCCUCGUUGAACGACUAAAACUACUUCUCUUCCGUCGUGGCGAUAACAUGAACCGGUUAAUAUAACGGAUAGCCGUCUUGAUUCCACUACCAAUAAGACAACAAACAACAACUAGACAUUGAAACAUUCUUGUAGUUCAGACCCUAAACUCCUUAUAGACUUAAGAAGGGGAGUAUAUAUGAUCAAAUCAAAAGAUGGUAACACAGUACUCUUAUAAAUCCACUGUUUUCGGUGUACUCAAUCCACCGUUUAUGGUUACAGGGUAACUCUAUCGGUUCUGAAAUAUUACCCUUAGUCGGAAAUACAGGAUAUGACAGACCUACUAUUAUUUAGUUAACUAAAGCUUUCUUA